CCCCUGAACCCUGCCUGGGACCCCUGAACCCUGACUGGGACCCCUGAACCCUGCCUGGGACCCCUGAACCCUGCCUGUGACCCCUGAACCCUGCCUGUGACCCCUGAACCCUGCCUGUGACCCCGAACCCUGACUGUGACCCCUGAACCCUGCCUGUGACCCCUGAACCCUGCCUGUGACCCCUGAACCCUGCCUGUGACCCCUGAACCCUGCCUGUGACCCCUGAACCCUGCCUGUGACCCCUGAACCCUGACUGUGACCCCUGACAACUGACUGUGACCCAGUUAGUCUCAAGGUGCUCCAGUUAGUCUCAAGGUGCUCCAGUUAGUCUCAAGGUGCUCCAGUUAGUCUCAAGGUCCUCCAGUUAGUCUCAAGGUGCUCCAGUUAGUCUCAAGGGGCUCCAGUUAGUCUCAAGGUGCUCCAGUUAGUCUCAAGGUGCUCCAGUUAGUCUCAAGGUGCUCCAGUUAGUCUCAAGGUGCUCCAGUUAGUCUCAAGGUGCUCCAGUUACAGGCUCAAGGUGCUCCAGUUACAGGCUCAAGGUGCUCCAGUUACAGGCUCAAGGUGCUCCAGUUACAGUCUCAAGGGGCUUUGAGGCCAUCCAAUGACACCAGCCUCUCCCCUCUAAAGGGACAGAGACAUCAGAUUGUGGUAGAUGCUGAAUGGGCAAACAGUGGUGGUAAAAGCUGACGCAAACUAGAAAUAAUGGUCAUUUAUUAUUGCAAAACGCUUUUCUGUUGGAUGCUUGGUCUCGUUUUGUAUCAGGAGACGUCCCACCCAUCAUUGGAUUCACGUAAAGACCAGAUCAAUAGCUACUCUCACUAUAGCCAGAUGAGUAAUCUAGUCUGUAGCGCAGAACCGUAACUCUGACCUUCAUAGGAUAGAGAAGCAGCAUCUAGGUAUGCCUGUGAAUGUCAAAAUGGAUUCCAACGAUUGCAGGUUAUAUAAUAGGGUGUACACUAUUGUGGGUCACCCUGAUUGUAACAUGACGUCAAAGUAUUUUAUCAUGCAAACUGUCAGAUAUGUAAACGUCAUUCAGUGUUAUGUACAAGUCUUUAUA